rnacentral:siRNA from 1 species
UUGAGCAUGACAUGUAUACUA